rnacentral:rRNA from 1 species
GUCUAUGGUCAUACCACCCCGAACAUGCCCAAUCUCAUCUGAUCUUGGAAGCUAAGCAGGAUCAGACCUGAUUAGUUCUUGGAUGGGAGAAAUAUUGGCUUCAUCACUC